ensembl:lncRNA
GAUGUGGCAUGUUCCUGGACUUUGGGAAUGUGAGCACAACUAGCGCAAACCGUGGGGACUGGCUAACCGAGGAGGUGGAACUCAAUGCUAAAGGAGGCAGAGAUGAUCGCAACUAUCUAUGGGUAUUGCUGAAAAUGCGGUCCGAAAACCCGUUUCUAUCCCUGGUCCUGCCCAGUAUACUAAUCAUCUUGGCUGAUGUAGGCAGCUUCGCCCUGCCGCUGGGAGAGAGUAAGCGCAUCCCCUUCAAGGUUAAACUGGUUCUCAGCUUCAUCAUGUUCCUCAACAUCCUCAAGGACCUUCUGCCUGGAGGAGGCCAGUGCAGCCCCAUCAUCCGAAAGCACUUCUGUUUCUGUUUGGUCAUCCUGGUGUUGAGCACGUUGCAGUCUAUGGUGCUCACACGCCUGGCUAAGUGUGGCACUCUCUGGCCCUGCAGCCUCUCCAAGUCCAAAGACUCACUGCUUAAAGACACAGACAAUGAAGACGACUCCAAGUUUGAUUUUAAAGCCUCAGAGGAAGAGAAGAAUACAGCCCUCCAGAAGGUGGUGAAGUUUCUCAACAAAAUGGCUGCACAAGACCAGAAAAAUGCUAUACACCAUCGCUUUGCCAACAAAGUGGACUUGAUCUGUUUCUGUAUCUAUCUCACCAUCCUCAUUGUUUACUCAUUCAUCAUUUUAUUUUUCUCCUUUGGUUCUCGAUGUGAGAUCGACCAUUUACAAUUCUGGCAUUAAAUUCUGUAUUUGCGUUUAACAAUGAUAUUUAAAUAAAUAUAAAGUGUGUACUCUUCAGUAGAGAUUUAACAAUAUUUAUUUCAAUAUGUUUGAGCUAAGAAUUAAAUUGAUUAGGACUAUGCAUCCUACCUAUGAAAUACCUCUGCAUAUCUAUCCAUUUUCCAUUCUUCCUGUGCCAUCCAAAUUCCUGCAUAGCCUACUGGUCAACGUACUGUAGUCAAAAAUAAUGCGAACGAUGACGUUCAGUGAUGAAGAUACGUCUAGCAACUUGCUGGUGCCGAGGCCCAGCAUGAUGACUCAAU